UGGGGAAUAUUGCACAAUGGGCGCAAGCCUGAUGCAGCCAUGCCGCGUGUAUGAAGAAGGCCUUCGGGUUGUAAAGUACUUUCAGCGGGGAGGAAGGGAGUAAAGUUAAUACCUUUGCUCAUUGACGUUACCCGCAGAAGAAGCACCGGCUAACUCCGUGCCAGCAGCCGCGGUAAUACGGAGGGUGCAAGCGUUAAUCGGAAUUACUGGGCGUAAAGCGCACGCAGGCGGUUUGUUAAGUCAGAUGUGAAAUCCCCGGGCUCAACCUGGGAACUGCAUCUGAUACUGGCAAGCUUGAGUCUCGUAGAGGGGGGUAGAAUUCCAGGUGUAGCGGUGAAAUGCGUAGAGGUCUGGAGGAAUACCGGUGGCGGAGGCGGCCCCCUGGACGAAGACUGACGCUCAGGUGCGAAAGCGUGGGGAGCAAACAGG
rnacentral:rRNA from 1 species